UCGCCUGUUUAUCAAAAACAUCGCCUCUUGCUAACAAUGAAGUAUUAGAGGUCCCGCCUGCCCUGUGACAGCAGUGUUUAACGGCCGCGGUAUCUUAACCGCGCGAAGGUAGCGUAAUCACUUGUCUUUUAAAUGGAGACCUGUAUGAAUGGCAUAACGAGGGUUUAACUGUCUCCUCCCCCCGGUCAAUGAAAUUGAUCUGCCCGUGCAGAAGCGGGCAUAAUACCAUAAGACGAGAAGACCCUAUGGAGCUUUAGGCAAAUGAUCAAACAUACAAACGUCAUUUAAACUAAAAAUGAAGAAAAUAAAUACUACUGAUCAACAUGCCUUCGGUUGGGGCGACCAUGGAGGAAAGAAAAACCUCCAAGUGGAACGGGAAAACCCUUCAACUAAGAAAAACACCUCUAAGUACCAGAAAAUCUGACCAAAAAUGACCCAGGAUAAACCUGAUCAACGAACUAAGUUACCCUAGGGAUAACAGCGCAAUCCCCUCCCAGAGUCCAUAUCGACGAGGGGGUUUACGACCUCGAUGUUGGAUCAGGACAUCCUAAUGGUGCAGCCGCUAUUAAGGGUUCGUUUGUUCAACGAUUAACAGUCCUACGUGAUCUGAGUUCAGACCGG
rnacentral:rRNA from 1 species